GUACGAAUAAGGAUCGGCUAACUCCGUGCCAGCAGCCGCGGUAAUACGGAGGAUCCAAGCGUUAUCCGGAUUUAUUGGGUUUAAAGGGUGCGUAGGCGGCAGAUUAAGUUAGAGGUGAAAUUCCGAGGCUCAACCUUGGCACUGCCUCUGAUACUGGUUUGCUAGCGAGUAGAUGCUGUAGGCGGAAUGUGUGGUGUAGCGGUGAAAUGCAUAGAGAUCACACAGAACACCGAUUGCGAAGGCAGCUUACAAAUCUAUAUCGGACGCUGAGGCACGAAAGCGUGGGGAGCAAACAGGAUUAGAUACCCUGGUAGUCCACGCAGUAAACGAUGAUAACUCGUUGUCGGCGAUAUACAGUCGGUGACCAAGCGAAAGCGAUAAGUUAUCCACCUGGGGAGUACGUUCGCAAGAAUGAAACUCAAAGGAAUUGACGGGGGCCCGCACAAGCGGAGGAACAUGUGGUUUAAUUCGAUGAUACGCGAGGAACCUUACCCGGGCUUGAAAGUUAGUGACGGAUGCCGAAAGGUGUCUUCCCUUCGGGGCACGAAACUAGGUGCUGCAUGGUUGUCGUCAGCUCGUGCCGUGAGGUGUCGGGUUAAGUCCCAUAACGAGCGCAACCCCUAUCGUUAGUUACCAGCACGUGAAGGUGGGGACUCUAACGAGACUGCCGGUGUAAGCCGAGAGGAGGGUGGGGAUGACGUCAAAUCAGCACGGCCCUUACGUCCGGGGCGACACACGUGUUACAAUGGUCGGUACAGAGGGCAGCUACCUGGUGACAGGAUGCGAAUCUCGAAAGCCGGUCUCAGUUCGGAUUGGAGGCUGAAACUCGCCUCCAUGAAGCUGGAUUCGCUAGUAAUCGCGCAUCAGCCAUGGCGCGGUGAAUACGUUCCCGGGCCUUGUACACACCGCCCGUCAAGCCAUGGGA
rnacentral:rRNA from 1 species